ACGCCAGUGGUGAAACGGUUAUCAUGCUUGCCUUCCAGUUGCUUAUCGCAGCACAAACGGCAGCAAGCGGCGGGGGUUCGACUCCCUCCUGGCGUA
rnacentral:tRNA from 1 species